AUUCUGGGAGUUGAAGUCCACCAGUCUUAAAGUUGCCAAGGUGGGAGAAAGACUGAUCUACGGUACAAAUUAAAUAUAUUGGAGUCCAAAAGAAUGGUAGAUCAGGACUCCGCCACUUUGCUAUGAUAGUCUGCACAUGCCUUUCUACUUCUCUACUUUUUUGCUUUUUAGCAAAACCCAGCUGAGUCGCCCUUCCAUGCUUUGUAUCUCAAAGGUAUCAAAUUAAGCCCCUCGUGCCAGCAUUUUUAAAGUGCCACAAUGGGCAAGAUUUUUGCCAUAUAUUCUUCUCCAGCACUACCUACCACAACAAUUGACAAAAUGGUGCACCCACAAUGGCACCAUCAGGUGAACGCUGACGUCACAGACUUGGAUUCCCACGCCUGAUGCAAAUUCAGGAGUCCCAGCGUUCGAAUAAUGAGACGGUCACGCCUGUGUUAUCUCUGUCCACCUCCCUUCAAGGAUGCCGCUGUCAAUCACGGGGUGUCCUUUUCGAUCUACUGGCCUUACAGUAUUGAAUUCUAAACAAGACAAGUUUAUAAAUAACUUAAAUAAGUCAAUAGUGAAACGGCCACAUUUCUAAGGACAUGGUGAAGAAUCUCAGAAUUGUUGCUGAUCAGAACCGGGUAGGAGAUAGUGAGGCAAAACGAUGUACACAACAGCUGCAGUCAUAACAACAGAGUUUACAAACCACUGAAAAUCACAGGUCCAUUAAAUUCUUCACUAGCAUUAGGUUGAGGAAGGGCAAGGAAGAUCUUGGAUCAGGUUAAGCAGCCAUGUUCCUUUGCUAUUACAGACCAAAAAAACCCUAAGCCACUAGGUGUGUGUGUGUAUAGUCUCACGUUACAUACACCCCUCGCAGUUUUCUCUAUAUUUACUCACCAAGACCUGUUUCCAAUUUACAUCCUUUGAAACCCUAUAUAUUUAUGACAUUUAUUCUCUCCACCUUUGGGCCUCUUUCAUUUGUUGCUCAAGAGUUCACCAGGAGAACAAACUCUGCUGAGAAAAAUCUUCAGCAAGGAGGGAAAGAAAUCAAUGCGAAAUCAACUAUGAUUAAUGCCGGUUUGACCAUUUUCCAACAUUAAUCACAUUCCUGGGCUCUGGAGCGUGCAAAGCGGAAAAGUCUAUACUCAUAAAGAGUGUAAUUGGGAACAUUCCUUCUCCUUACUCCGAGUUGGGGAGGCGGUGGGUGGUAGCGCAGCUCGGAAUUACAAAGCCGCAGAAUCGUCUGUGUUGAAUAAAUAUGGAUUUCUUGGUCCCAAAGUUGGACGCGCGUUGAAAAAGACACAAACGCAAGGAGAACUCAUGAGGAGCUGCCCUUCAUUCAAACUUGAAACAGCUGCUUCUCCAGCUACAGUUCUGUGCAGGACUUAAAUUGCAGCCCAGCUGUAUAACAGACACCCAAGGAUAUUGCUGACUCGCAAUCGCGCCCUCCC